UCGCUUCCUGGAGAAGUUCAAGACCCAGAGGGGGAAAGUGUUGGACAGAAACUUGAAUAUCUGCAACAAGUCACACCUGGGAGUACAGAUGUGACUGGGAGGUGAACAGCAGUCCUCCGUGGCUCUCCCGUCAUCCUUGGAGAUGACAACGCAGACUUCUUCAAGAAUUUGUGUGAGUUUAGGAUGGCGUGAAGCUUCGACUUGACCCUAUGGAAACACAGCAGAAGCCACCAACGGGUCCUGAUCGGGGACUCUGAUGACCUUCUGGACGUGUCCCACACCUCCAUUGGGACCCUGACGGUGCUGAAGACAUUGUGGCCCCCUCACUCGCUGGACCUGAAGUCUACAACUACUGCCAUCGUUUUGGGAGGAACAGUCGUGAUGGGUGACCGUGAUAAUCUUCCCCGUGCCGUGUGGCUACUCUUCGGACUUAUUUACCCCUGAAUUUGGAGUAUCUUUAACGAGUGAGGAACACCUUCUGAAUUUAUUCAUAGAGUGCUUCUCACUUGGACCAAAAACCCUAAAAUACAAUCACUCAAAAAUCUACUGAUGCCAUAAGGGACUGUGUUCAUGAUGUGCAGUCAGGCCCGAGAACUUCACCCUUCUAUCUCCAAUAGAACUCUUUUAUAG